rnacentral:rRNA from 1 species
CCUACGGGGGGCAGCAGUGAGGAAUAUUGGUCAAUGGCCGGAAGGCUGAACCAGCCAUGCCGCGUGAAGGUCAGUGCCCUAUGGGCGUUAAACUUCUUUUGUGCGGGAGCAAUAAUGGUCACGUGUGGCCAGACGAGAGUACCGUACGAAUAAGCAUCGGCUAACUCCGUGCCAGCAGCCGCGGUAAUACGGGGGAUGCAAGGGUUAUCUGGAUUUAUUGGGUUUAAAGGGUGCGUAGGCUGGGAGGUAAGUUAGCGGGGAAAUGCCCCGGCUCAACGGGGUGAAGUGCCAUUGAUACUGUCUUGCUGGAGUGCGGAAGAGGGGGGAGGAAUGUGUGGUGUAGCGGUGAAAUGCAUAGAGAUC